rnacentral:lncRNA from 1 species
AUCCAUAUUUAGAGCAUAGUUUUCAUUCGAAGUUUCUUAUAAUUUAAUGGACUGAUGACUUUUCUUAUCUUUGAUUAAAAAGAAGACACAAUUGUUUCAAUUCCAUUAGAUAUGUAUUCAGAAGUAAAAUAUCCAAUAACAUAAACUGAGAAGCUGAUCAAAUCACAUUUUAAAGCAUAAGUACCAAAGUCAAACUGCAUACAAUUAUUUAGAUAAUAUGAUUUCAACAAAUGCAUAUAAGUGUUCUAAGAUUUUCACAGAAAUAUAUUCCCAUUUAUUUUAUGAUAUACACUAAAUGAAAGCUUAAGAUUAGCGAAAUAGAAUAUUUUUGAACGG